UACAGAGGUCUCAAGCGUUGUUCGGAUUCAUUGGGCGUAAAGGGUGUGUAGGUGGCGCGCUAAGUCGGGUGUGAAAUCUUGGAGCUUAACUCCGAAACUGCAUUCGAUACUGCCGUGCUUGAGGACUGGAGAGGAGACUGGAAUUUACGGUGUAGCGGUGAAAUGCGUAGAUAUCGUAAGGAAGACCAGUGGCGAAGGCGGGUCUCUGGACAGUUCCUGACGCUGAGGCACGAAGGUCAGGGGAGCAAACGGG
rnacentral:rRNA from 1 species